rnacentral:rRNA from 1 species
UGGGGAAUAUUGGGCAAUGGGGGGAACCCUGACCCAGCAACGCCGCGUGAAGGAAGAAGGUUUUCGGAUUGUAAACUUCUGUCCUUGGUGAAGAGGAAGAGACGGUAGCCAAGGAGGAAGCCCCGGCUAACUACGUGCCAGCAGCCGCGGUAACACGUAGGGGGCGAGCGUUGUCCGGAAUUACUGGGCGUAAAGAGCGCGUAGGUGGUUAAGUAAGUCAGGUGUGAAAGGCCAGGGCUCAACCCUGGGAUUGCACUUGAAACUGUUUAACUUGAGGGCAGGAGAGGUAAGUGGAAUUCCUGGUGUAGCGGUGAAAUGCGUAGAUAUCAGGAGGAACACCAGUGGCGAAGGCGACUUACUGGCCUGGCUCUGACACUGAGGCGCGAAAGCGUGGGGAGCGAACAGG